rnacentral:rRNA from 1 species
UUGACCUUGCAUCGAGACAAUGUUCGAGCAUGUCUCCCUUCUCGGGAAGCUCCCUCGACCCCACGAACCCUUGACCUCAAAUCGGGUGAGACUACCCGCUGAACUUAAGCAUAUCAAUA